CUAUGACACAUAACUGGUUUGAGAGGAUGAUCAGUCACACUGGAACUGGAGACACGGUCCAGACUCCUACGGAGGCAGCAGUGGGGAAUAUUGCACAAUGGACGAAAGUCUGAUGCAGCAACGCCGCGUGGAGGAUGACACAUUUCGGUGCGUAAACCUUUUAUAGAGAAGAUAAUGACGGUAUAUAUGAAUAAGCACCGGCUAACUCCGUGCCAGCAGCCGCGGUAAUACGGGGGUGCAAGCGUUACUCGGAAUCACUGGGCGUAAAGAGCAUGUAGGCGGAUUGAUAAGUUUGAAGUGAAACCUAUAAGCUUAACCUAUAGAACUGCUUUGAAAACUGUUAAUCUAGAAUGUGGGAGAGGUAGAUGGAAUUUCUGGUGUAGGGUAAAAAUCCGUAGAGAUCAGAAGGAAUACCGAUUGCGAAGGCGAUCUACUGGAACAUUAUUGACGCUGAGAUGCGAAAGCGUGGGGAGCAAACAGGAUUAGAUACCCUGGUAGUCCACGCCUAAACGAUGUACACUAGUUGUUGUGAGACUUGAUCUUGCAGUAAUGCAGCUAACACAUUAAGUGUACCGCCUGGGGAGCACGGUCGCAAGAUUAAAACUCAAAGGAAUAGACGGGGACCCGCACAAGCGGUGGAGCAUGUGGUUUAAUUCGACGAUACACGAAGAACCUUACCUGGACUUGACAUAGUAAGAACACUUAGAGAUAGAUUGGUGUCUGCUUGCAGAAACUUAUAUACAGGUGCUGCACGGCUGUCGUCAGCUCGUGUCGUGAGAUGUUGGGUUAAGUCCCGCAACGAGCGCAACCCUCGUGUUUGAGUUGCUAACAGUUCGGCUGAGAACUCUAAACAGACUGCCUACGCAAGCAGAGGAAGGUGAGGACGACGUCAAGUCAUCAUGCCUUACGUCCAGGGCUACACGUGCUACAAUGGGAUAUACAAAGAGCCGCAAUACGGUGACGUGGAGCAAAUCUUAUAAAAUAUCUCAGUUCGGAUUGUAGUCUGCAACUCGACUACAUGAAGUUGGAAUCGCUAGUAAUCGUAGAUCAGCUAUGCUACGGUGAAUACGUUCCCGGGUCUUGUACUCACCGCCCGUCACACCAUGGGAGUCGAACUCAUUCGAAGCGGGGAUGCUAAAAUAGCUACCUUCCACAUGGAUUUGGCGACUGGGGUGAAGUCGUAACAAGGUAACCUAGGAGAACCUGCGGUUGGAUCACAUCCUUU
rnacentral:rRNA from 1 species